rnacentral:rRNA from 1 species
AUUGAACGCUGGCGGCAGGCCUAACACAUGCAAGUCGAGCGGAUGAAGAGAGCUUGCUCUCUGAUUUAGCGGCGGACGGGUGAGUAAUGCCUAGGAAUCUGCCUGGUAGUGGGGGAUAACGUCCGGAAACGGGCGCUAAUACCGCAUACGUCCUACGGGAGAAAGCAGGGGACCUUCGGGCCUUGCGCUAUCAGAUGAGCCUAGGGCGGAUGGGCUAGUUGGUGAGGUAAUGGCUCACCAAGGCUACGAUCCGUAACUGGUCUGAGAGGAUGGUCAGUCACAAGGGACCUGAGACACGGUCCAGACUCCUACGGGAGGCAGCAGUGAGGAAUAUUGGACAAUGGGCGAAAGCCUGAUCCAGCCAUGCCGCGUGUGUGAAGAAGGUCUUCGGAUUGUAAAGCACUUUAAGUUGGGAGGAAGGGCAGUAAGUUAAUACCUUGCUGUUUUGACGUUACCGACAGAAUAAGCACCGGCUAACUUCGUGCCAGCAGCCGCCGCCGUAA